GAUGAAGAACGCAGCGAAAUGCGAUAAGUAAUGUGAAUUGCAGAAUUCAGUGAAUCAUCGAAUCUUUGAACGCACAUUGCGCCCCCUGGUAUUCCGGGGGGCAUGCCUGUCCGAGCGUCAUUACAACCCUCAAGCUCAGCUUGGUGUUGGGCCCCGCCGCCCCGGCGGGCCCUAAAGUCAGUGGCGGUGCCGUCCGGCUCCGAGCGUAGUAAUUCUUCUCGCUCUGGAGGUCCGGUCGUGUGCUCGCCAGCAACCACCAAUUUUUUUCAGGUUGACCUCGGAUCAGGUAGGGAUAUCCGCUGAACUUAAGCAUAUCAAUAAGCGGAGGA
rnacentral:misc_RNA from 1 species